ensembl:lncRNA
CCCCUUCCCCUCUGAUCUGUCCCUGUUCCCUCCAACUCUCAUGUCCUUUCCAUUUGGAAAAGCUCUAUUUCCAUUUUUCUUCAAUUUCCUUUUUAAAAAUCCCCUUUCCCUUCCUUCCUUCCCUCCUCCCUCCAUCUGUUAUUCCCCUUUCCAUGUGAACAAGAUCUCCCUACUUCCUAUUAUCUUUUAUUUUGCUCUCUAUUUGUACUUCAGGUUUCUCCUAGAAGAGAACCCAUGUGAUAUUUAGACUUACGUGUCUGAUCCUCCUGCCUUAAAGCCACUGAGUAGCUGGGAUUACAGGCCUGCACCACCCCACCAGGAUUAAUGUUGUAUUUUUAAUGGUCUUAUUAUUCUCUCAAUUACAAGCGCUUAUUUCAUAGUCUUUACCAUUAGAGACAACAGGACUGUCUUAACUACACUUAAAGAAUAACCAACAUGUUUUCCUUAAUAUUGUGUCCAUUAAAUAGUUAAAAUAUAAAAAAGAAAAUUAUUAGAAAAAUACAAUAGCACAAGAAGAAUUAUCAUUAUUCUUUCUAGUUUUCACUUUCUAUUUAGAAAACACACGAGAUAGAAACUGUACCUUAACUUUGACCCAGUUACAGUGGUGAAGCAAUAUGAACUCUGCCCCUGAACGCCAACCUGGAAGUGGAGGUUAUUGCUUCUUCCCACAUGGGUGUCAGUUCAAUUUGAUAAGUGUACCACAUGAACCAACCAUUUAGGAAGCAAGGAAUUAAGAAAACACAAUUCCUGUCUCCCAGAAGCUUAUAGUAUAGAGGAGGUUUUUUUUUGAAUGGUCAAAGUCAGAACAGGUUUUCUUUGUUUAUUCUUUUUGUCGGGAUAGAAAUUGUAAAAAUUUCUCGGCUGCUUCCUUUGGGAAAACGAAGUACUUUAAAAACAAUAUAUAUAUUCAAAAUUCAAAGGAACUGAAGUCAGUACAAUGAGGAGAUGAGUACACUCCCAUGACCACUGAAUGAUUAUUCACAAUGUCCAGUCUUUUUAGAAAUGUACCGCAACGUUUCCUUGGGGGAGCAGGUACUGGGGAUGGAAUGCACUCAGUCUGCACUGAGCUACAGUGUGUGCUAGUUCCUGUGGCUCACUAGUGCUGAUACCUGUGCAUCUGUGAUGGUUAAUCUUGUUCAUCAGCAUCAUUGGAUUGAGAGGAACCUAGAAAACUGGUAAAGCGCACUCUGCAUGUGGUGACCUGCUCUGAAUCUGAGUGGCUUAUCCUGACUGGGGGUCCAGGUAGAACAAAACUCAGAAGGGGAAUGCUUGCACAUUCUCAUCCUGGGUCUCUUUGAGCAGAUGUUUCCAAGGCCGAGACAUCCGAAGACUUGACUGGGGCAGAAGCUCUGCUUUGAAAGUGACUCACUCAAAUACGUGGCAAAUUGGUACCCUCUGAAGAGUUCUUGAUCUGUUAAACUUGUACCUCUGCCCAGAGCUUGUUGAAUGUCCACACCCUCACCACUAACCCAACAAGCUCCAAGAGAGAUGGAGGCUGCAUUAUCUUUAUAACCUAACCUCAUGAGAUAAGUGUUGUCAUUUCUCAAAUAUCUUAUUGGCUAAACCAGUCAUGCCUGCUCAUUUUUAAAUGAAACUAUACAAACCAUGUAAAACAGGAGAACUACACACAAAAUAUGCAAAGAAUCAUUGGGCCAUUUUCAAGGCUGGCUACCACAAGGACCAAUGUUUGACUUUAGAAUUUUCAUUAUCUGUUACUUUAAACAUAAAACCUUUUUAAAAAUUAU